rnacentral:rRNA from 1 species
GUUUACGGCCAUACCAGCCUGGGUACGCCCGAUCUCGUCUGAUCUCGGAAGCUAAGCAGGGUCGGGCCUGGUUAGUACUUGGAUGGGAGACCGCCAGGGAAUACCAGGUGCUGUAAGCU